rnacentral:rRNA from 1 species
UGCCAGCAGCCGCGGUAAUACGAAAGGGGCUAGCGUUGUUCGGAAUUACUGGGCGUAAAGCGCACGUAGGCGGCAUGACCAGUCAGGGGUGAAAGGCCUGGGCUCAACCCAGGAACUGCCUUUGAUAUUGUCAUGCUUGAGUUUGGUAGAGGGUAACGGAAUUCCCAGUGUAGAGGUGAAAUUCGUAGAUAUUGGGAAGAACACCGGUUGCGAAGGCGGUUACCUGGGCCAAUACUGACGCUGAGGUGCGAAAGCGUGGGGAGCGAACGGGAUUAGAUA